rnacentral:lncRNA from 1 species
AUGCAGUCCCACAAUUAUGAUGUUCCUCACUCCACAUUUCUGCUACUGUCAACUAACCUGCCAUCUAGUGAGCACAGCAGGAGGCUCUGGAAUGCAGUUUUGCUAUAGUUUUACGGGUUGCACUUGAAGCAGCUGACAUAUCUCUGCAGUAGGUCACUUGGCUCUAGUGCUUGCUUUGCAGUUCCAGAGCUUGUGUUUGCUUCUCUAAAAUGGUAGUGUUAUCUUUAACAUUUGAUGACGUUAGUGCGGCUUGUAUUCUCCUGGACAUGUUACCACUUUGCACAUUACUGGUACUCACUGGUAUUCAUUAGCGUGAUACUGUAUAGUCAUUAGUGUGAAGACUGCACAUUAUCUGACUUCAAGCAUAGUUCCCUUCUAGACUGCAUAUGAAUUCAUAAUUGUGUAUUUUAUUCUUUGAGCUGCAUUUGUUUUACGCUUUGAACAUUACUGGAACUCAAUAGUUAUCUUUAUACUCAAUUUCGCAUUUAGCAGGCAGUACUGCAGAAGCUAUGAAAGUAGUGCAUUUGUAAAAGUAUCACUCCACGCAUUUUGCAAAGCAGUUUUUGGUGAUCUGUGAAGCUUUUUACGGAAUAACUGCUUCUUAUCCUAAACCUGCAAUUUGUGGAAGUCAGGUUGCAUCAAAUCAUGUUAUUUAUACGCCUGUGUGCUUCCAAUAUGCGACAUGCUCUGUUUUUUUAUUGCAAGCCCUAAUCCUUACAGCCCCCACCCAGAACCCCUCUGGUUCUGGUUGCUAAUUGUGCUGAGGCCGCUAGUCGCAGGUGUCCCUCCACUCAUUUGGUGGUAAUUACUUUCAGAUCUGUAAUGCAUGCAAUAGUUACGUCAUCAAAAUAUGAGACUUAAUGCCACAUCAAAAUUACAUGAUGCAUACCAAUAUCUUUCUUUCAUGUUACGCACUAAUUUUUGGUCACAAGUCCAGGCUCUGAGAGACGGCUCUAGCAAUUGCAGCAUUGUUGCCUGCGUGUAAAAUCUGAGUACCUAUAGUUUACAUAGAACUACUCGUUUCUUUUUUUAUUGUUUGAAAAGCCACCAUUUUUUAACACUGUUUUUGUGCAUAUGUUGUUUUCAGUCUUGUUAUAUGAAGAUACCAUGCUUGUUUGAUUCUUAUGGUGUGUUUGUAGCAUCAUAUGCUUCAUUCCAUUCGCUAUUGUACAGCUUUGUUGUGGCACUUGAAA